rnacentral:misc_RNA from 1 species
GAAAUGCGAUAAGUAAUGUGAAUUGCAGAAUUCAGUGAAUCAUCGAAUCUUUGAACGCACCUUGCGCUCCUUGGUAUUCCUUGGAGCAUGCCUGUUUGAGUAUCAUGAAAUCUUCAAAGUAAAUCUUUUGUUAACUCAAUUGGUUUCUACUUUGGUAUUGGAGGUCUUUGCAGCUUCACACCUGCUCCUCUUUGUUCAUUAGCUGGAUCUCAGUGUUAUGCUUGGUUCCACUCGGCGUGAUAAGUUAUCUAUCGCUGAGGACACUGUAAAGGUGACCAAGGUAAAUGCAGAUGAACCGCUUCUAAUAGUCCAUUGACUUGGACAAUACUUUUAUGAUCUGAUCUCAAAUCAGGUAGAACUACCCGCUGAACUUAAGC